rnacentral:misc_RNA from 1 species
UCUCCGUAGGUGAACCUGCGGAGGGAUCAUUACAGAGUUCAUGCCCUACCGGGUAGAUCUCCCACCCUAUGUUAUUAUUACUUUGUUGCUUUGGCGGGCCGUUAGGCUCCGGCCCGACUACCGGCCCCGGCUGGUAAGCGCCCGCCAGAGGACCCAAAACCCUGAAUAUUAGUGUCGUCUGAGUGCUAUAUAUAGUUAAAACUUUCAACAACGGAUCUCUUGGUUCAG